CACGAACGCUGGCGGCAGGCCUAACACAUGCAAGUCGAACGGGAUCUUCGGAUCUAGUGGCGGACGGGUGAGUAACGCGUGGGAACGUGCCCUUUGGUUCGGAAUAGCCCUGGGAAACUGGGAGUAAUACCGGAUACGGUCGAGAGACGAAAGAUUUAUCGCCGAAGGAUCGGCCCGCGUUGGAUUAGGUAGUUGGUGGGGUAAUGGCCUACCAAGCCGACGAUCCAUAGCUGGUUUGAGAGGAUGAUCAGCCACACUGGGACUGAGACACGGCCCAGACUCCUACGGGAGGCAGCAGUGGGGAAUCUUAGACAAUGGGGGAAACCCUGAUCUAGCCAUGCCGCGUGAGCGAUGAAGGCCUUAGGGUUGUAAAGCUCUUUCGUGGGGGAAGAUAAUGACUGUACCCCAAGAAGAAGCCCCGGCUAACUCCGUGCCAGCAGCCGCCGUAAUAC
rnacentral:rRNA from 1 species